rnacentral:rRNA from 1 species
UGGGGAAUUUUGGACAAUGGGGGCAACCCUGAUCCAGCCAUGCCGCGUGCGGGAAGAAGGCCUUCGGGUUGUAAACCGCUUUUGUUCGGGAAGAAAAGGCCUGGGUUAAUACCCUAGGUUCUUGACGGUACCGGGAGAAUAAGCACCGGCUAACUACGUGCCAGCAGCCGCGGUAAUACGUAGGGUGCGAGCGUUAAUCGGAAUUACUGGGCGUAAAGCGUGCGCAGGCGGUGAGUUAAGUCUGAUGUGAAAGCCCCGGGCUCAACCUGGGAACGGCAUUGGAAACUGGCUCGCUGGAGUGUGGCAGAGGGGGGUGGAAUUCCGCGUGUAGCAGUGAAAUGCGUAGAGAUGCGGAGGAACACCGAUGGCGAAGGCAGCCCCCUGGGCCAACACUGACGCUCAGGCACGAAAGCGUGGGGAGCAAACA